CAGCCGCCGCGGUAAUACGUAGGUGGCAAGCGUUGUCCGGAAUUAUUGGGCGUAAAGGGCUCGCAGGCGGUUUCUUAAGUCUGAUGUGAAAGCCCCCGGCUCAACCGGGGAGGGUCAUUGGAAACUGGGAAACUUGAGUGCAGAGGAGGAGAGUGGAAUUCCACGUGUAGCGGUGAAAUGCGUAGAGAUGUGGAGGAACACCAGUGGCGAAGGCGACUCUCUGGUCUGUAACUGGCGCUGAGGAGCGAAAGCGUGGGGAGCGAACAGGAUUAGAUACCCGAGUAGUCCCUGUCUCUUAUAU
rnacentral:rRNA from 1 species